CGAAUCAGCAAACUUCCACAAAACUAAAAACACUUCAUAGUUGAAAUAUCUAAACAAAACUUGAAAAUGAAGAACGUUUCUUUUAAGCUUCCACUCUUGAUUUUCAUUUUGGUCAUCACAUCUAAAGAUCUUAGAGCAGAAGCAAGAAAGCUAACUGGAGUCGAACUUAUCGCCGGAAGCUCAAGUUAUGCCGGCACCGGCAUGAAAAUGGAGGAUUCGUUCACUCCACUUCCAACUUGCAAGAUCGACUACGAUUGUACCUUAAGAUGUCCAAAGGGAGGAUUAUGCAAUCGUCGCUUUGGCACAUGUAAUUGCUUCUAAGUACUUAAUCGCGCUUUAAUCUAAUUUUAUCGAAUAUAAACUCAAGAUUAAUAAAAAUCAUAUGCUUGAAA